CUAUUAAUAACCCCAAAAACACCAACCACUAAACAACAAACCAUUUUUCCCCCCAAGUAUGGGCGACAGAAAAGGACAACAUAUGAGCUAUAGAAAAGUACCGCAAGGGAACGCUGAAAAAGAAGUGAAAUAAGCCAGUAAAGUUAAAAAAAGCAGAGACUUGCACUCGUACCUUUUGCAUCAUGACUUAGCUAGUAAAAAUCAAGCAAAAGGCACUUUAGUUUGACUUCCCGAAACUAAGUGAGCUACCCCAAGACAGCCUAAAAGCAGGGCUAACCCGUCUCUGUGGCAAAAGAGUGGGGUGAUCUUAGGGUAGAGGUGACAAACCUAUCGAACUUAGUCAUAGCUGGUUGCCUAAGAAAUGAAUAGAAGUUCAGCUUUUUGGUUUUUCUUCUCAAAUUUAUUUUACCUAUAACUGACUCAGAAGACACCAAAAAAGUUAAUUAAAGGGGGUACAGCCCCUUUAAAACAAGAUACAACUUCAUCAGUCGGGCAAGGAUCAUAAUUAUUAAGGCAAAAAUGUUUUAGUGGGCCUGAAAGCAGCCACCUACAAGAAAGCGUUAAAGCUCAUUCAUACCCCCGCCACCAAUUCAGAUAACAAGUCCAAACCCCCUAAUCUUAUUAGGCCGCCCCAUGUUUACAUGGGGGUGAUUCUGCUAAUAUGAGUAAUAAGAAAAUUCAGUUUUUCUCCUUGCACACGUGUAAGUCGAAACGGACCCCCCACCGAAUCUUAUCGGCCCCAAAAAGAGGGUAAUGAACCACCAACUUUGAUAACAAGAAAAGCACCCAAAUAUUAACCGUUAACCCCACACUGGUGUGCCCACAAGGAAAGACUAAAAGAAAAAGAAGGAACUCGGCAAAUACAAGCCUCGCCUGUUUACCAAAAACACCGCCUCUUGUAUACAAAUAGGAGGUCA
rnacentral:rRNA from 1 species